AUAAACCACUCUUUAAAAUCCAUAUCCUAUUGUUCUUUCCUUCCAAGGAUAUAGAGAAAGCUAGAUAAUUCACAAUUCCUCCAUACCUGGAAUCCCUCAGUUUGUGUCUUAUCAUAUCUGAUAUAUAUUCAACCAGUUCAGAAAGUUGAAAGGUAAUUAAGGCUAGUUGGCGAACCUUUUAUCUGAAAAUUGUUCCUGCCUGGCUCCCUGAAUGCCAUCUAAGAAGCGUGUCAAAGAAUGUUGGCAACCUUCCUACUUGGCAUGAGGGGAGUCACGCAGGCCCAAACAAUCAGAUAAUUUAUGUUUGCCUCUUCUGAAGUUUACCUCUGCCUCUGCCUCAACUCAUCAUACUGAAUCCUUCCAGUUCCUAAAGAACAAAGGCGAAAUGGGAUUUCUCUGUAUUGCUUAGCGCGUCGCUGUUUGCAACGCGUAGGUACUGGAGACACUGACAGAGAGCCCAACAGACCACAGACUGGAUGAGGUUACAGAUCUGCAUUGAGUACAGAGUCACCUCCAUACUAUGCAUCCUUGGUAGGACCCUUAGGUUCCUUUUGUAUUUUGUAUGUUAUAUUUUGUAAUAGACACUAGCUUUUGUUUUGUACAUUGUUAAGUCAUGUAAAUAUUUAUAAAUAUAGUGAGUUAAUGCAAGUACAAAUUUCUUUGCAAAUUUGAA